UAGGUCGUGUAUCCCUCCGCCACUGCUAUUUCUGCGAUUUCUGCUACUUCCGUGAUUUCUGCUACUUCUGCGAUUUCUGUGACUUCUGCUAUUUCUGCUACUUCUGCGAUUUCUGUGACUUCUGCUACUUCUGCGAUUUCUGUGAUUCCUGCGAUUUCUGCGACUUACCACCGUAUGAGAAAGUUACAUCUGUCAACACAGAAAAUUGCAUCUCAACAAACCUGUCUUUGGCAAGUACCUGAACUACAUUUCAGUCACUCAGUAAAGUGAUAACUCAAAAUAUCAUUGUCAACAGAUCUGAAGAAAUUGCCACUGCGUCUUUAGACCGUUUUCGUCAGACGAGAGACACAGUUCUGACUCUGAUUACUGGUUGCUGUACGUAUCUAUCCAUAUCAAGGCUGUUUUUGAGAGAGACUCGUGAAGAUUCAAGACAGUUCUUAGAG